rnacentral:rRNA from 1 species
GCAGUAGCCGCGGGAACACGUAGGGUGCGAGCGUUAAUCGGAUUUACUGGGCGUAAAGCGUGCGCAGGCGGCCCGUUAAGACAGGUGUGAAAUCCCUGGGCUCAACCUAGGAAUUGCGCUUGUGACUGGCGGGCUCGAGUACGGUAGAGGGGGGUGGAAUUCCUGGUGUAGCAGUGAAAUGCGUAGAGAUCAGGAGGAACACCGAUGGCGAAGGCAGCCCCCUGGGCCUGUACUGACGCUCAUGCACGAAAGCGUGGAGAGCAAACAGGAUUAGAUACCCCGGUAGUCCCUGUCUCUUAUAC